rnacentral:rRNA from 1 species
UACGAAGGGGGCUAGCGUUGCUCGGAAUCACUGGGCGUAAAGCGCACGUAGGCGGACUGUUAAGUCAGGGGUGAAAUCCUGGAGCUCAACUCCAGAACUGCCUUUGAUACUGGCGAUCUCGAGUCCGGGAGAGGUGAGUGGAACUGCGAGUGUAGAGGUGAAAUUCGUAGAUAUUCGCAAGAACACCAGUGGCGAAGGCGGCUCACUGGCCCGGUACUGACGCUGAGGUGCGAAAGCGUGGGGAGCAAAGCAGG